UCAUUUAAAUUUUAUGAUUAA
rnacentral:piRNA from 1 species